rnacentral:rRNA from 1 species
AUGGUUCUCAAGCGUCGCCGGAGCGAGCGUGCCCACGCCGAUCGCCUCUACAGAUGCGACAGCUCGAAGCGCAUCGCCCGCAACAAAUCGGCGGCGCUGGAGACCAUCAACGGGUUCUACGCGGCGGCGCUGGACAGGCUGCCGCUGGACGAGAUGCCGGCGCUGGCCCCGCGCCUCCUCAAGGCUGGUCUCUGCGUCGGCUUCGCCGACCCCGUCUCCAACAUCAUCGUCAACACCGUCUCCUCCUACGGCCGCCGCAAGCCCGCGGUCGCGGCGCCGUCGUCCACGCCCGACGACGGCGAGAAGGAGAAGAAGAAGGCGAGAAAGCGGCGACGGGAGGCGCUCUCCCGGGCGGUCUCCGGCACCGGGAAGGCCAAGCGCUGGCCGCCGCCCCGCCGCCUCCUCCGCGACAUGCCCAUCGCCGAGCGGUCGCUCAGGGCGCUCGUCGCGUUCCUCACCUGCUACUUCCCCCGCCUCCCCGCCUGCGAGGCGCUCGAGUAUCUCUGCCUGGCCAACGCCGACCUUCUCUCUGCCGUGCGGCUCGUCGAGGAGGACCGCAACUCCAGCGGCAGCUUCAGCUUCGCGUCCCGGACCACCAAGACGGCCCUCAAAUGCGCCGCCUUGGCUGCCUGCCACCCCAUGCCCAGGGCCCUCGUCAACAGGUCCUACUCGCUCGCCUCUCGGAUGGAGCAACUGUCCCAGCUCCUGGCGACCGAAGGCGGCUGCCUCUCCUGCAACGCCAUUGACAGCAUCCACGCAUUGCUGAACAAGCCCCGGCAGAAGCUUGAAGACCUCGCCGGAGUAACACCGACACAGUUCCAUCUGGAGCUGAACAGGCCGCCGCCGUUCGUUCCUACAAAAGCUCUGCGGAGCACCCUGCUCCGCAAGAUCUACGGAUUCUACCUCAAGGCACUCGCGUUGCUGCCGACGGACGGCCUGCGCACGCACCACCACCGGGGCCUCCUCAAGGCUGGCCACUGCUACGGGCCAUUGACGGAUCCCGUCUCCAACAUUGUGCUCAACACUCUCUGGUACAGCACGACGUUCCCGCCGGCAGGAGGGCCCUCUCAGGCCACCAUGAUCUGCUCACGCAGCCUUGUUCUUGUCGCAUACCGCUCCCUUCGUGGCCUUGUUGCUUACAUCCGCGCUUACUUUCGCACGAUGUCUGAACACCAAGCCAUGCAUUGUCUGCUCUUCACAGAGGUCAAUCUCUGGGGAGCAAUGGAAAUGGCAAGGCAACAGGGACACACCGAGGGAACUAUGUUGAGUCAGUACAGCGCCUACAAGGCUGCAGCCACCGCAGCGCAGCACCCAGAACCUGAUGCCGUUGCAGAGUUUUUCAUGUCAUCCUUUCCCAUGAUGCCUCUACCCAUGGAGGAUGGAGAGACAUUCGUAUUGGAUGUGGAUCGCAUCCAGCAGCUGCUGUCUGAAUACUGUACCGCUCUCGAUGAUUCAGUCCGGAGUACAGUUCCUGUGCUUUCAGAGGGGGGAUCCAAGUUCCUCUCGUGCAUUCUGAGAGAUUUCCACGAAGAGGAACGCUUUGUCUGUACGAAGGUCAAUGCCAUGCUGAAGAAAUACACGCAGCGAACUGGGGGACCUGAAUAUGAGCUUCAUGUCAUCUGUGGCUUGAACUCAAACGUAGGCAAAGCUUUUGUUUGGGGCCUCCAUUACGGCCCCUUGCUUUCUUGGCGCCCAAAGAAAACUCAGCAUUCUCACAUCAACUUCUUGGCAAGGCCGAGAGAUUUGCAUUCUUCUGACACGGUUCCUAUACUUUUCUUUGCUGAGUGCUCCAAUGAUGAAGAUGCCGUUGAUGAGCCGUCAUGUUGGCCGGUCACAGGACAUCCUGGCCGUUGUUAUUACUGUGAGAGAGAAGGUGCAAAGAUUGUACAUCCAGAUCUAGAGAAGUAUAUUGGGCGUGACACCGACUUUGAGCGUAUGGCUCGCGGUGACCGCAGUAGCACGACCACUGAAGAUUCUAUCAGUGAUGGCGAGUUUAUAAUUGAUUCUGCUGUAGACAUAUGUGAGGAGGAUUGCAUCUAUUUUGAUGCCGGUAGGGACGCCAAGUUUGCAGAGUUCUUGAAUUCCCGUGGUAGGACUAUGCAGGGUCCCAGACUCAUUUAG